AUUGAACGCUGGCGGCAUGCCUUACACAUGCAAGUCGAACGGCAGCACGGGUGCUUGCACCUGGUGGCGAGUGGCGAACGGGUGAGUAAUACAUCGGAACAUGUCCUGUAGUGGGGGAUAGCCCGGCGAAAGCCGGAUUAAUACCGCAUACGAUCUACGGAUGAAAGCGGGGGACCUUCGGGCCUCGCGCUAUAGGGCUGGCCGAUGGCUGAUUAGCUAGUUGGUGGGGUAAAGGCCUACCAAGGCGACGAUCAGUAGCUGGUCUGAGAGGACGACCAGCCACACUGGGACUGAGACACGGCCCAGACUCCUACGGGAGGCAGCAGUGGGGAAUUUUGGACAAUGGGCGAAAGCCUGAUCCAGCAAUGCCGCGUGUAUGAAGAAGGCCUUCGGGUUGUAAAGCACUUUUGUCCGGAAAGAAAUCCUUGGCCCUAAUACGGUCGGGGGAUGACGGUACCGGAAGAAUAAGCACCGGCUAACUACGUG
rnacentral:rRNA from 1 species